rnacentral:rRNA from 1 species
GGCCCGCGGCCUAUCAGCUUGUUGGUGGGGUGACGGCCUACCAAGGCGACGACGGGUAGCCGGCCUGAGAGGGCGACCGGCCACACUGGGACUGAGACACGGCCCAGACUCCUACGGGAGGCAGCAGUGGGGAAUAUUGGACAAUGGGCGCAAGCCUGAUCCAGCCAUGCCGCGUGGGUGAUGAAGGCCCUAGGGUUGUAAAGCCCUUUCAGCGGGGAAGAUAAUGACGGUACCCGCAGAAGAAGCCCCGGCUAACUUCGUGCCAGCAGCCGCGGUAAUACGAAGGGGGCUAGCGUUGCUCGGAAUUACUGGGCGUAAAGCGCACGUAGGCGGCUUCUUAAGUCGGUGGUGAAAUCCUGGAGCUCAACUCCAGAACUGCCUUCGAUACUGGGAAGCUCGAGUCCGGGAGAGGUGAGUGGAACUGCGAGUGUAGAGGUGAAAUUCGUAGAUAUUCGCAAGAACACCAGUGGCGAAAGCGGCUCACUGGCCCGGUACUGACGCUGAGGUGCGAAAGCGUGGGGAGCAAACAGGGUUAGAUACCCUGGUAGUCCACGCUGUAAACGAUGGAUGCUAGCCGUUGGCGAGCUUGCUCGUCAGUGGCGCAGCUAACGCUUUAAGCAUCCCGCCUGGGGAGUACGUCGCAGAUAAACUCAA